CAAUAGCGUAUAUUAAAGUUGUUGCAGUUAGAACGCUCGUAGUCGGAUUUCGGGGCGGGGCGACCGGUCUGCCGAUGGGUAUGCACCGGUCGGCGCGUCCUUCCUUCCGGAGACCGUUCCUACUCUUAACUGAGCGGGGGCGGGAGACGGAUCGUUUACUUUGAAAAAAUCAGAGUGUUUCAAGCAGGCAGCUCGCUCUUGCAUGGAUUAGCAUGGGAUAAUGAAAUAGGACUUUGGUGCUAUUUUGUUGGUUUCGAACACCGAAGUAAUGAUUAAAAGGGACAGUCAGGGGCACUCGUAUUCCGCCGAGAGAGGUGAAAUUCUCAGACCAGCGGAAGACGAACCACUGCGAAAGCAUUUGCCAGGGAUGUUUUCACUG
rnacentral:rRNA from 1 species